AGGCCAGGGCUCCCCGGGAUUGUGGAUUGUGCUGGGCCCAGUGGAUUUCCAAUCACUUCGAGGGACCUGAGCCAGCAUUGGUGAGGAUGAUGACGUUUUCCUCCUGUGGAGGAUUGCAGAAGACAGUUUGGAUUCCCCAGAGCCACCUCUCCCCUCAAGCCUAGAAGAUCCCUGGGAAAGGAUCUGGAAGGAAGCAGUUAAGGAAGGAGACUGGCAAAUAGUCUUGAAAGUCCUCGUUGCCCCAGGACAUGAUGAAAGAAGGGAGCAGAAUCCCAGGAAACUUCAUGAUGAACAGCACUAGACCAGGGGGAAAUCAAGGCAGAGCCAUGGUUUGUCACGACUUGUUUGAUGCUAAUAAGCCCCAUGGUGCAUUUCGAGCUGAGCCCUGGAACAUCAGGGCAUGAGAGGAGAUUGCACAAACCAGUCCAGGAGUCAAAGUCAGAAGAAAACCCCAAAGUAUGUCAAGGCAUGAAUCGGUCCCACUGAGGUCCAUCCCCAACACAGGCUCCUCAUGGACUCCUUGGAGGAGAGAAUUGGAAGCCAGGAUGGCACAAAAACUUCUCAAAGACUCAGUGUGGAAAGGAAAAUCCAAAGUACUUUAAAAACCUUGAGUACCUCAAAGCAUAAAUGAGCCCCACUGAGUGUCAGUACAACGCUCUCAAGGGACUCGUUAAAGCAGAUAAUUGGGGCCAUGAUUGCA